CCCUUAGAUGUUCUGGGCCGCACGCGUGCUACACUGAGUAAUUCAAUGGGUAAGGGAACGCUAGAGCAUUACCUAAUCUUGAAAUUUGCUCGUGAUGGGGAUCGACGGUUGCAAUUUUCCGUCGUGAACGAGGAAUACCUUGUAGGCGCAUGUCAUCAUCAUGCGCCGAAUACGUCCCUGCCCUUUGUACACACCGCCCGUCGCUCCUACCGAUUGAGUGAUCCGGUGAGGCUCUGGGACCUGGACGGAAAGAGCGUUUCGCUUGUUCUGUUUGGGAAACUUGGUUGAACCUUAUCAUUUAGAGGAAGGAGAAGUCGUAACA
rnacentral:rRNA from 1 species